GGUUUUAGUUCCCAGAUUGUGCCAAGGACAGGAAGAGUCCCUCAGUGCAAUGGUCACCAAGGGCAGUGGCUGCUUUUCCCCUUCAAAUCUUGAGGGAACAUAACCUUCUUGAGGGCUCUUCAGCUCAGCGUCAUUUGUGUUGAAACUGCCCGGGAUGAUUCACAUAAAUCUUUCUUCUUUAGGAAAACAAGGAAAAAAGCUGGGGUGUGGUGUAAAAGCAGUUUGUUGUGCCAAAUGCAUCCCUGCUGGGUUUGCUAAAUCUUCCCUGGUGGUUUGCAACCCAAUUCUGCAAUCAGAGCUUUUGGAAGGCUAUAAAACAUCACUGGGACUGCCAUGGCUUUGGGGACCACCACCUUCAGGAGUGGUGAAGACCAGCAUCUGCUCUGCAGACCUCCAUAAGCUGCUUAAACAGAGCCCAUCCCUGCUGCUGUCCCCUGCUGUGAAUUCAUCGCCACCAAGGACAAAGGAGACUCAUGGCCACUUCUUACCCAUAAGCAGCGUGCACCUCACCAGGGAGUUUCUUCCCACAGUCUUGCAUAGUCAACUUUUGGUUUAUGGUACGUUUCCCAUUGCACCAAUCUUUAUUGUAGGAAAAAUUUAAAAAAUGAGAGAGAAUGUAGGAAAUGCAGCUGUAGGGUAUGAGCUUACCGUGGGACAAAUAGUGGAGUUGGGAGAAAAGGAGGACCAACAGUAGACCAGCAGUAUCCUGGGCUACAUCAAAAGAGAGGUGGCCAUCAGGGAGAGGUGAUUCUUCCCCUCUGCUCUGCCCUUGUGAGGCCCCUUCUGGAGUACUGCUUCCAGGCCUGGGGCCCAGGUACAGGAAGGAUGUGGAGAUGUUGGAGUGGGUCCAGAGGAAGUCCUUGAAGAUCAGAGAACUAGAGCAGCUCUUCUGUGAAGAAAGGCUGAGGGAGUUGGGCUUGUUCAGCCUGGAGAUGAGAAGGUGCCAGGGAGACCUCAUUGCGGCCUUCCACUACUUGAAGGGAGCUUAUAUGCAAGACGGGAACUGACUUUUUAAGUUGUCUGACAGUGAUAGGACAAGGGAGAAUGGGGAGAUUUAGGUUAGAGGAGGAAAUGCCCUCUGAGCACAGGCUGCCCAGAGAAGUUGUGGAUGCCUCAUCCCUUCAAGUGUUCAAGGCCGGGUUGGAUGGGUCUCUGAGCAGCCUUAUCUGGUGGGUGGCAGCCCUGCCUGUGGCAGGGGGUUGGAACUACAUGAUCUUUAAGGUCCCUUCCAACUUAAGCCAUUAUAUGAUAUGAUUCUAUGACCUCACAUGGAACUGGGCGUCACAGUGAAACCCAGGCGACAUGGUUUCACAGUGAUGCCUUGCUCCAUUUGGAGACUGGACUGGAGGCUUGUGGAGGCAUUUCAGAUCCUGCCAGCAACCUGGAGAGGGAAAAAUCAUCAUUAGCUGGAGCAGGAGGCAGCAGCAAACUCUCACUCCCGCAUCACCUCUGGUUCUGGCGUUCCCCACGACGCACGUGCUUUGGCUGGGUUUUAUUUAAUCCACAGCACUGAGGAGCCUCGCUUCUUGUUUCUGGCAGCUGGAUUCCACCACUGGUUCCAGGUGGCUGAGAGACUGUAAAGUCAGAGCAGGGAGGAACAUGGGGAGAGAUGGACAGAUGCCCGUUUCCUUAUGAAACCAGGCUAAAAAUAGGUUCCCUAGACUUCCCGAGGAGGUGCUUCCCUGCAGUGAAAGCCAUCUGCUCAAUCCCCUGCACCAGAUACAUCCAGGUUUCCCCUGCUUGUUCUGCUAAACGUGAAAUGUUCCCAUAUCCAGGCCAGACAAAUCAAACCUGAUGACCCACUGAGGAGAGAUUCUCCAACCUUCUCCAACUCACAUCCUCAUGGCUGAGCCAAAUUCCUUGAAAAUGCCAUCCCUUCGGUUAUAUGUUUUGCACUGCUUGUGUUCUUGAUGGGAAGAUUUUUAUCUGUAACAAUAACUUGCUUUCUCUGUAGCCCUUUCCUACCCAGCAAUUUCCAGUCCUGACUGAAGCUUCCAGCUUAAUAACUGUCUUUUUGCAGCCAGGGAAACUGAGAGAAUGGUGUUAUUAGUAAGGCAAUUCCCAGAAAAAUUCAUCUGGCUGGUGAAAAGAGCACAGAGAGUAAAAUUCUCCUGGGAUAGAAAAGCCUGUGGAAGAAAAGAGAUGAUGCAGAACUUCAGACACUCCAGUUCUGCCCAGGCAACUGAUUCUCCUGAAUAUAAAGACUUAAAUAAAGUAACACGAAGUGAUAAACAAGUGUGGGGUAGGACAGAGCUGGACAGAAAUUCAGGAGGAGCAAAAAGGAAAACAAAUAAAAGAUGAGAAGAGCAUCCAAGCAAACAUGAACACAAGCCCAGCAGGAUGAUAGUUAGUUGAACAGUUGCCCUUUAGUUCCCUGUGCAAGGCUGAGCACCCCCUUCCCUUCCCUUGGAACCACAGGAUCACAGAAUGGCUGAGGUUGGCAGGGGUCCAUCUGGUCCAAUCCCUGCUCAAGCAGGGACACGCAGAGCAUGGUGCUCAGUACCACAUCCAGGAAGCUCUUGAAGAUCUCCACGGAGGAGGUUUGUGGGCAAAAAAAUGUCAGGGAGGAAUUGUAAAUAUUGCAAAGGGAAGAAAAGACUGAGCAAAGUUAAAAUGGAUCCUGCAACUUUCUGAUCCAAAGGGUAAAAUAAGCUGUUUGUUAUUAUUUAUUCUUCAUCCCUGUUUUACUGUCUCCAACAUCUUCCUCUGCUUUGUCUCAGUGUAGCUUUGGGCUGUUCUCAUCCCAACCACAAUCCCCUGGGUGAGCCUUCCUCCCUCUCUGUGCAAAGCCAGCUUGCCCAGACCUCUGGGGACUGCCAAGGGCAGAAAGAGGCUGCAGAAAUCCCCAUGGCCCUUGUUGCAGAGUUGAGUUCCUGGAAGGAAGGGGCAGGGGUUAACUGGACUGAUUUGGAGAUUUAUCUGUGAAAUUCUGGCUGUGAUUUCCACACUGCCUCCCUGCAUUGCUUCUCCUUUUCCAUGUCCCUGGCAGGUAAACAAAGAGAAGGUAAUACAUACUCUCUAGUGGCUUGGGUGAUUAUUGCUUUUGCUGCUCACAUUUAACAGCCACAUGUUCCCAUUGACAUUUAUUUCAGAUGACUUCUGUUCCUUCACAUCUCUCUGCAUGGGAAGUUCAGCUUCUCUAAGUAACAAGCUAUGCUGCUUCUUCCAUAUGGGAAGGAUCGGAAGCAUCUUAAGUGGGGGUUUCAAAAUGCAGAUUAAAAUCACAG